rnacentral:rRNA from 1 species
GGUUAAGUUACUAAGGGCACACGGUGGAUGCCUUGGCGCUAGGAGCCGAAGAAGGACGCAGCGAACUGCGAUAAGCCUCGGGGAGCGGUAAGCACGCUUUGAUCCGGGGAUCUCCGAAUGGGGCAACCCACCAUCUGUAAUGGGAUGGUAUCCUUCACUGAAUCCAUAGGUGAUGAGAGGGCAGACCCGGUGAACUGAAACAUCUAAGUAGCCGGAGGAAGAGAAAACAAUAGUGAUUCCGUCAGUAGUGGCGAGCGAACGCGGAAGAGCCUAAACCGUCGGGUUUACCCGGCGGGGUUGUGGGGCGUCUCACAUGGAGUUACAAAGGAUGGAUGUAGAUGAACAGUCUGGGAAGGCUGACCAAAGAGCGUGACAGUCGCGUAAUCCAAACAUCCAUCCCUCCGAGACCAACCCCGAGUAGCGCGGGACACGUGAAAUCCCGUGUGAAUCUGGCAGGACCAUCUGCUAAGGCUAAAUACUACCUAGCGACCGAUAGUGAACCAGUACCGUGAGGGAAAGGUGAAAAGCACCCCGGGAGGGGAGUGAAACAGUACCUGAAACCGUGUGCUUACAAAUAGUCGGAGCUCGUUAAAAGAGUGACGGCGUGCCUUUUGUAGAAUGAACCGGCGAGUUACGGUAGCGUGCGAGGUUAAGUCGAAGAGACGGAGCCGCAGCGAAAGCGAGUCUGAAUAGGGCGCAAGUACGUUGCCGUAGACCCGAAACCGUGUGAUCUAGCCAUGUCCAGGGUGAAGGUAGGGUAACACCUACUGGAGGCCCGAACCCACGCACGUUGAAAAGUGCGGGGAUGAGGUGUGGCUAGCGGUGAAAUUCCAAUCGAACUCGGAGAUAGCUGGUUCUCCCCGAAAUAGCUUUAGGGCUAGCCUCGGAAUUAGAGUCUUGGAGGUAGAGCACUGAUUGGGCUAGGGGCCCUCAUCGGGUUACCGAACUCAGUCAAACUCCGAAUGCCAAUGACUUAUGUCCGGGAGUCAGACGGUGAGUGCUAAGAUCCAUCGUCAAAAGGGAAACAGCCCAGACCAUCAGCUAAGGUCCCCAAGUAUACGUUAAGUGGGAAACGAUGUGGAGUUGCCCAGACAACCAGGAUGUUGGCUUAGAAGCAGCCACCAUUUAAAGAGUGCGUAAUAGCUCACUGGUCGAGUGACUCUGCGCGGAAAAUGUAACGGGGCUAAACGUAUCACCGAAGCUAUGGCAGUCCUUAUGGACUGGGUAGGGGAGCGUUCCAAGCAGCGGUGAAGCCGUACUGGAAAGAGCGGUGGAGCGCUUGGAAGUGAGAAUGCCGGUGUAAGUAGCGAAAAGACAAGUGAGAAUCUUGUCCACCGAAAGCCUAAGGGUUCCUGGGGAAGGCUCGUCCUCCCAGGGUUAGUCGGGACCUAAGCUGAGGCCGAAAGGCGUAGGCGAUGGACAACAGGUUGAUAUUCCUGUACCACCUCUGUUCCGCUUGAGUGAGUGGCGUGACGCAGGAGGAUAGGGUGAGCGGCCUACUGGAUGGCCGUCCAAGCAGUAAGCCUGGUGUGUAGGCAAAUCCGCACACCGCUAAGGGCAAGCUGUGAUGGCGAGGGAAAUUUUAGUACCGAAGUCCCUGAUUUCACACUGCCAAGAAAAGCGUCUAGCGAGGAACAAGGUGCCCGUACCGCAAACCGACACAGGUAGGCGAGGAGAGAAUCCUAAGGUGCGCGGGAUAACUCUUGCUAAGGAACUCGGCAAAAUGGCCCCGUAACUUCGGGAGAAGGGGCGCCCCGGUAGGGUUCAUAGCCCGAGGGGGCCGCAGUGAAAAGGCCCAAGCGACUGUUUAGCAAAAACACAGGUCUCUGCGAAGCCGCAAGGCGAAGUAUAGGGGCUGACGCCUGCCCGGUGCUGGAAGGUUAAGGGGAUGAGUUAGCGCAAGCGAAGCUUUGAACCGAAGCCCCAGUAAACGGCGGCCGUAACUAUAACGGUCCUAAGGUAGCGAAAUUCCUUGUCGGGUAAGUUCCGACCCGCACGAAAGGCGUAACGACUUGGGCGCUGUCUCGGCAAGAGACCCGGUGAAAUCAUAAUACCUGUGAAGAUGCAGGUUACCCGCGACAAGACGGAAAGACCCCAUGGAGCUUUACUGUAGCCUGGUAUUGGAACUUUGUGCAUCAUGUACAGGAUAGGUGGGAAGCUGAGAAGCAGGGGCGCCAGCCUCUGUGGAGCUGUCGGUGGGAUACCACCCUUGAUGUACGGAGUUUCUAACUCGUCGCCCUCAUCGGGCGAGAGGACCAUGCCAGGUGGGCAGUUUGACUGGGGCGGUCGCCUCCUAAAAGGUAACGGAGGCGCCCAAAGGUUCCCUCAGAAUGGUCGGAAAUCAUUCGUAGAGUGUAAAGGCAGAAGGGAGCUUGACUGCGAGACCUACAAGUCGAGCAGGGACGAAAGUCGGGCUUAGUGAUCCGGUGGUUCCGCAUGGAAGGGCCAUCGCUCAACGGAUAAAAGCUACCCUGGGGAUAACAGGCUUAUCUCCCCCAAGAGUCCACAUCGACGGGGAGGUUUGGCACCUCGAUGUCGGCUCAUCGCAUCCUGGGGCUGAAGUAGGUCCCAAGGGUUGGGCUGUUCGCCCAUUAAAGCGGUACGCGAGCUGGGUUCAGAACGUCGUGAGACAGUUCGGUCCCUAUCUGUCGCGGGCGCAGGAAGUUUGAGGAGAGCUGUCCUUAGUACGAGAGGACCGGGAUGGACGCACCUCUGGUGCACCAGUUGUCACGCCAGUGGCAUAGCUGGGUAGCUAUGUGCGGACGGGAUAAGCGCUGAAAGCAUCUAAGCGUGAAGCCCCCUCCAAGAUGAGACUUCCCACAGCGUUAAGCUGGUAAGACCCCUCAUAGACGAUGAGGUUGAUAGGUUCGGUGUGGAAGCGCGGCAACGCGUGGAGCUGACGAAUACUAAUCGGUCGAGGACUUAUCCAC